rnacentral:rRNA from 1 species
UACGAAGGGGGCUAGCGUUGUUCGGAAUUACUGGGCGUAAAGCGCACGUAGGCGGACAUUUAAGUCAGGGGUGAAAUCCCGGGGCUCAACCCCGGAACGGCCUUUGAUACUGGGUGUCUUGAGUUCGGAAGAGGUGAGUGGAAUUGCGAGUGUAGAGGUGAAAUUCGUAGAUAUUCGCAGGAACACCAGUGGCGAAGGCGGCUCACUGGUCCGAUACUGACGCUGAGGCACGAAAGCGUGGGGAGCAAACAGG